rnacentral:rRNA from 1 species
UUGAACGCUGGCGGCAGGCCUAACACAUGCAAGUCGAACGGUAACAGGAAGAAGCUUGCUUCUUUGCUGACGAGUGGCGGACGGGUGAGUAAUGUCUGGGAAACUGCCUGAUGGAGGGGGAUAACUACUGGAAACGGUAGCUAAUACCGCAUAACGUCGCAAGACCAAAGAGGGGGACCUUCGGGCCUCUUGCCAUCGGAUGUGCCCAGAUGGGAUUAGCUUGUUGGUGGGGUAACGGCUCACCAAGGCGACGAUCCCUAGCUGGUCUGAGAGGAUGACCAGCCACACUGGAACUGAGACACGGUCCAGACUCCUACGGGAGGCAGCAGUGGGGAAUAUUGCACAAUGGGCGCAAGCCUGAUGCAGCCAUGCCGCGUGUAUGAAGAAGGCCUUCGGGUUGUAAAGUACUUUCAGCGGGGAGGAAGGGAGUAAAGUUAAUACCUUUACUCAUUGACGUUACCCGCAGAAGAAGCACCGGCUAACUCCGUGCCAGCAGCCGCGGUAAUACGGAGGGUGCAAGCGUUAAUCGGAAUUACUGGGCGUAAAGCGCACGCAGGCGGUUUGUUAAGUCAGAUGUGAAAUCCCCGGGCUCAACCUGGGAACUGCAUCUGAUACUGGCAAGCUUGAGUCUCGUAGAGGGGGGUAGAAUUCCAGGUGUAGCGGUGAAAUGCGUAGAGAUCUGGAGGAAUACCGGUGGCGAAGGCGGCCCCCUGGACGAAGACUGACGCUCAGGUGCGAAAGCGUGGGGAGCAAACAGGAUUAGAUACCCUGGUAGUCCACGCCGUAAACGAUGUCGACUUGGAGGUUGUGCCCUUGAGGCGUGGCUUCCGGAGCUAACGCGUUAAGUCGACCGCCUGGGGAGUACGGCCGCAAGGUUAAAACUCAAAUGAAUUGACGGGGGCCCGCACAAGCGGUGGAGCAUGUGGUUUAAUUCGAUGCAACGCGAAGAACCUUACCUGGUCUUGACAUCCACGGAAGUUUUCAGAGAUGAGAAUGUGCCUUCGGGAACCGUGAGACAGGUGCUGCAUGGCUGUCGUCAGCUCGUGUUGUGAAAUGUUGGGUUAAGUCCCGCAACGAGCGCAACCCUUAUCCUUUGUUGCCAGCGGUCCGGCCGGGAACUCAAAGGAGACUGCCAGUGAUAAACUGGAGGAAGGUGGGGAUGACGUCAAGUCAUCAUGGCCCUUACGACCAGGGCUACACACGUGCUACAAUGGCGCAUACAAAGAGAAGCGACCUCGCGAGAGCAAGCGGACCUCAUAAAGUGCGUCGUAGUCCGGAUUGGAGUCUGUAACUCGACUCCAUGAAGUCGGAAUCGCUAGUAAUCGUGGAUCAGAAUGCCACGGUGAAUACGUUCCCGGGCCUUGUACACACCGCCCGUCACACCAUGAGAGUUGGGAAUACCCGAAGCCUGUGAGCUAACUGAAAAGAGGCAGCAGUCGAAGGUAGAAUCAAUGAUUGGGGUG